rnacentral:lncRNA from 1 species
CACGUCUUAUGUUUGAACUGUCCAGUCAGCGUGGGCAGGAGGGUAUUGCCCGUAGCGCAGUGUUAUCUGACUGACCAGAGAUGUCUGCUUGGUAUGAUUAGGAGCGUCUCCCUAACAGCCGUUAGGUAUUGCCUCAGCUCCUGACUUAGAACUCCACUUCACUUUUUAUUUUGUGGCUAGUGGUAACUUUCUAACUCAGUGUUUUCCCGUGGAGUUUCCACAGUUCAUCUCCUUUUCAGGUAAGCGGUGAUCCGUGACUCUUUUUCAGACUCCUGUGGGAUUCUCCACAUGUGGUAAAUAUUGGGGGUGGGGCAGUGAAAGCUCUCCUGGCUUUGAGUGGAUUUGGAUCCAGCCUCUGGCGAUAAGGAGUUCGGGGCAGGGCUGUAGGAGCGGAUGACGGGGCGGAACACAGAAGGUGGCCAUCGGCUCCGAGGCUGCUGGCAGCUGAGGAUCUGUGGUCUUCUAGGGGUUGUAGGUGAGACCUGAAGUUUCUGAGGAUGGAGCCGGAGCUGUGGCAGAAGAAAGCUGGGGCCGAAUAGUCUCCGUGAAUGCAGGAGCGAGCACGAACGAGUAGACAGGAGGUGUGGUGGCAACAAGGAGGAGACGGUGAGCCGGGCGUGAGGCUCCGGCGCCAGAGCCUGCUCUCAUUACAGAAACAUAGACAACUGCGUUUCCAGAGAUCUUCCCACAGAGAGGCCUUUGGGUGCCCAGCCAAGUGGGACCCUUGAGCAAAGGAUUCAGGACAGCACAGGAACCUGUCUGUUGUCCUCAUUCCUGCUACCGCUGCCUGACAGAGCUGAGGAGCUUCUGAACUGGGCCAGGCUUUUGUGAGACCAUCCUGGGAGUCUGUUAAAGGAAGACUUCCCCCAAGAGAACGCUCUGGAGCUGCUGUGGUAGAAUGUGUCCUCCCAAAAUCGUGUGUUGGAGACUUAACCCUCCUAUACAACCGUGUGUGGGAGGGCUUAGGUCAUGAGGGCUGCACACUCGUGAAUGGAGUAAAGCGAACUAGAAAAUGGCAACUCAUGACAAGAGCCUAGGGUGAUUACUGAUGCCAUAAACAAGAGUGUCAAUUUGUUAAGUCAACAACAGGAGUCACUGUGCACUUACUCCUCAUGUAGGAUCUCUGUCCUUCCUGUGCUGUACAUUGUGAUUUAAUGCUAUAACUAGUACUCA